ensembl:lncRNA
UAAAUGCUAUUUGAAAAAUAUUCUGAGACAGCGUGAUGUAAGUAUAUUUCCUUGUUGACUUAUGUUGACCUCCUGAAAUAUGUUGAUAUUUACUCCUGCUUUUGUCCCACGUGCUUUGUUUUUAAAGAAGCUUAAUUCAAUAUGAGUGUAUUAUCAUGUCUUAGAGAUGCCAUUUUUACAAACUAACGAAAGCUUGGUGAUGCUUCUAUUAAGUGAAAAUACAGUUUUAUUUGCUUUCUAUCUUAUUAAAUAAAUUGGGUAAUAUUGAUCUUACCUUUUUUUUUUAUGCAGACUGAGAUUACUGCUUUUAUAAGCUGUUUCAGCUGAUUUCUUAUGAACAUCUUAAGGGACAAACAGAUUACUGUAACUUAAGGGCUAACCAUCUGUUUGAGUAACUUCUUUGCUGACAGAGAGGAUCCAGGUCAAUGGAUGUCCUGACUGGUCUGCUUCAUGAAGAUCGGACUUGUAAAGAGUGAGGUCAGUCAAAAUUAGAUUGGAAUUGACUGAGAGAGAAACCUAUCAAUUCCCACUGGAAGCGGAGCUGUUAUACAGGACCUCCUCUCCUGAACUAUCCUGUGGUGAACAUCAACUCCUUCAAUACUUACAAUGCAAAAGGAAAGUGCCUGAAAUUCCUGAGAUAAACAUAAAAAAAAAAAAAAAAAAACAACAACCAUACUUUCCCUUAUCUGCUUAAACAGUCGCAUAGUCAGUGAUUUUUUUUUAUCUCUAGAGUUGAGAUACCCAUUUUCAUAUUCAAGCUUUAACUUCAAACCUGACUCUACUUCCCAGAAGGUCCUCUAGAAAUUGACAUUUUGAACAAUUCUGUUCAUAAUGUGCUUUGGAUUUGAUAAAUUUUAUUUUCCAGAUCGAGUGAUUGCUUUGGGAGAUUUAUUUCAGACAAAUAGGCUGAUUUGAGCAUGAGGUGUUGCAGAACAUUGGGGAAAUUCAAUACUAUUUUGGAAUAGAGGAAUGAAUGCUAGAUGACCUAAUGUGGAAGGAGCUUUUUAUCAAGUGUUCUUUUAUUAUGUUUUAAACAAUGAAAUCUGUCCUUUUUUGAAAUUUUCUGGCACUAUUGCUACAAAAAUAACAGCACUUGCAUUACUUUCCAUGUUUGACAAUUCUCAUCUUUAUCGAGAAGCAUUCUAUGAUAUAACGUGAACUUGUCUGCUGUUUGUUAAUACUGUUUUUACUGUUUUUUUUUUUAAUGAAAACGUAUUAUUUUGUAAUGAAAUGGAGGAAAGAAAGGACUUCAGUCUUUGGAGAGCCCUAGCAGUUAAAUGUGAACUCCCUUUUUGCAUCAGAAAGGUUGUUGAUGUGGUUAUUGCAGCAGCACUCUGCUGAAUGGCUGUAAUUUACAUACACUUAUCUCCGCUCCCUUCUGCUUCCCCUGGCCUCCUGUAAUUUGCUUGUUACAAGUACCAAGGAAGUAUCUCCAGGGAGCUGCAGGG